rnacentral:rRNA from 1 species
UACGGAGGGAGCUAGCGUUGUUCGGAAUUACUGGGCGUAAAGCGCACGUAGGUGGCUUUGUAGGUCAGAGGUGAAAGCCUGGAGCCCAACUCCAGAACUGCCUUUGAGACUGCAUCGCUUGAAUCCAGGAGAGGUGAGUGGAGUUCCGAGUGUAGAGGUGAAAUUCGUAGAUAUUCGGAAGAACACCAGUGGCGAAGGCGGCUCACUGGACUGGUAUUGACGCUGAAGUGCGAAAGCGUGGGGAGCAAACAGG